UACGAAGGGUGCAAACGUUGCUCGGAAUCAUUGGGCGUAAAGCGCACGUAGGCGGCUUCAUAAGUCGGAUGUGAAAUCCCGUGGCUCAACCAUGGACGUGCAUCCGAAACUAUGAGGCUUGAGUAUGGAAGAGGGUCGCGGAAUUCCCGGUGUAGAGGUGAAAUUCGUAGAUAUCGGGAGGAACACCAGUGGCGAAGGCGGCGACCCUGGGCCAA
rnacentral:rRNA from 1 species